rnacentral:rRNA from 1 species
AACGAACGCUGGCGGCAGGCUUAACACAUGCAAGUCGAGCGCCCCGCAAGGGGAGCGGCAGACGGGUGAGUAACGCGUGGGAAUCUACCCAUCUCUACGGAAUAACGCAUGGAAACGUGUGCUAAUACCGUAUACGUCCUUCGGGAGAAAGAUUUAUCGGAGAUGGAUGAGCCCGGGUUGGAUUAGCUAGUUGGUGGGGUAAAGGCCCACAAAGGCGACGAUCCAUAGCUGGUCUGAGAGGAUGAUCAGCCACAGUGGGACUGAGACACGGCCCAGACUCCUACGGGAGGCAGCAGUGGGGAAUAUUGGACAAUGGGCGCAAGCCUGAUCCAGCCAUGCCGCGUGAGUGAUGAAGGCCCUAGGGUUGUAAAGCUCUUUCACCGGUGAAGAUAAUGACGGUAACCGGAGAAGAAGCCCCGGCUAACUUCGUGCCAGCCGCCGCCGUAAGAC